AACCGUGUUUGCGCUCUGUGGGUGAACUAAUUUUCAUCAGUAUGAGUGAAAAAAAACAACCUUUUCAUAUGUUUCUGCAUUGAAGAAACAUACCACUUUGUUGUGGUAUGUUUCUUCAAAUGUAUUGUCUUUAACAUUGUGACUUCACACUGCUUUCAGAAUAUUGUGUGGUGAGUAAUGAAAGAAGUAUGCAUCAGAAGCUACAUACAGAUGUGAGAAGGGGGGAAAAAGACACAGUGGUGUCCGUGUUAAACAACUGGAGGCCACUGGCUCUCCCUUUCCACUCUGCAAAACUGCAGUUUUAAACAGGAUUCUGUAUUUUCCCAUCUAAGUAAAAAAAAAACAACAGCGUUUAAAGUUCAUCCAGGCUUUAAUUUCUCCAUUAACAACAUCAAAUAUGAAGGAAGAAAAUAUGCAAAGAUUCUGUGUGUUUCCAUACCAAGGAGGACAUCUGUUUUCAUUUACCCGACUGCUGAGUAAAUCUGGGUUGAAAACUGAAACCAGUGGGUCAUUGUAACACAAGUACUGAGCCUCAAUGUAAGAACACACACACACGCACGCACACACACAUAGACCUUCACAAAGCAUUUCCAGAGGAGUUAGCUUGUUAGUUCCUUGCAGGUUGGGAGGAGGGAGUCGCUGCUGGCAUGCAAACACCAGACAUUUGCCAAACUUAGAGGCACCGAUUCUUUUAGUCCACUGAGCUCCGUUCUCCUGGUACAAUGUCAGCCCUGAGCUAUUGAAGCAGCCCCAAUUGAAAAUGUCCCUGAGACUGACAUGACAUCACCUUCUAUUUCACUUGGAAAAACACUUAUUUUUUUUGAUACUCACCGGAAAGAUUAAAGCAGAUUAAAGUUGUUAAUGAUGUGAUAUGAGACGUUGAGGUCAACAUUGCUGUGAUGGUGCCUGAUGGGGGAAAUGUCCUGACUUUUUAAGGUCACAAGACACAGCUGAUCAUGAUGUUUUAGCAUCACCGAAAAGAAACUGAGUAGCAAAAAAAAAAAAAAGAGAUGUUGCAAGCAACAAUGCACCGUUCAGGCUUUUUCCGGUCGAUAUUCUUUUAGGUCUGGCCGGCCCAUUUUGAUUGUCUUUCUAUAAAUGUAUUCAAACUUUACUAAAUUCAACAAAUAAAUGAAGCAAAAGUCCAUAAAAGAAAAAUAGCUUUGGAUUCCUUGUUUGAGAUGAAUGAUCUACACCUUUAAGUAAAUCUUUUACAUUUUUAGCUUGUUUACAUACCACAAAAAAUUUACAGCGUUGAUUCUUCUAAUGAAUGGGGAGAGCAGGAAUUCCCCCAUGAUAACAAUUGAGUGUUGAGUUAGUGCAGACUGCUGCUGCCAAGUUUUCUGCAUGUGCCAGCAGAAGAACUGCUGUGACCUCAUUGCCCUAAUGCAUAGCUUAGUCUGCUGUCAGGCUGGUGGAAUUAGUACUUUUAGCCAAAAAUUGAAGACUUAGUCCCAUUUCCUAUACAUUGUAUAGACAAAACUUACCCACAGAGUCAUAUAGUCUGAAAUAGAAUUAUUGUACAGUUUUAUAUAUAAGUUUAAUCUCACAGCAUUAUAUUUGGUCAAACUAUUUGUCCUGCAGCUGUGGCACUUGUGGCACUGAGGUGCAAAAAACAAUCCAAAUGAAGGGCAAGCUUUCUUCUUUCCAGUUUUGUUAAUCAUAGUUCUGCGAGGAAAGAGCAAAAGGUUUACAUCUGAUUCAAAUGAACGAAGAUUUCAGGGCUUCUUGUCCCAUGUUGCCCCCGGACUGCAGGAAUGCAGCAACAGAGCAGCUUUAGGAUCAGAUUAGCUUCCCCUCCUCCUCUUUUUCUGUCCCCACUUUUUCCCCCCCUUUCUUCUUUCUGGUAGAUGUUUCCCACCAGGACUGCGGUACACAAGUUCAAAUUACAGCGCUGUAAUCGCCUUGGCUGUGGGGGAGAGCAAAGUCCUUCUCGCUUUUAUGAUUGUGCGAGGGCAGAUUGUUUUUUUUUUGUUUGUUUGUUUCUGAGAAACAAAAGGAAAGAAAUUUUUUUUCCUGUUGCCAUGUCAGGGCUUCACUCUUAGUUCCUCUCCAUCCCCGUUUUUAUUAGUCAGGUCUGCUGAGACCGCUUCCGCACUAAAAGUUGAGUCAGAUUAAGCACUGAGACAUGUCUCGGGUGUUGGGUAAUGCCAAAGAAGCGUGGAAAAAGCCAGCCAGCUCAUUUUUAGUGCAUUUACAAAAUAAGGAAAACUCAAACCCAAAAAGUCAAACUAAAGUCAGAUUGAUGUCGUCAUUGUGAAUGCGGGUAGAUGCUCUGACUAAAUAGGUUGGAGUUCAGAUUUUGUGCCAAAAGCAAGCUUGGGUGAAUCAGAAAAGGCUAUUUCAGUGGAGACGGUAUAAAUAGAGAGCAGGAAAUGUGUCUGCUAGUGUAACCCACAUAAAGUGGGUAUGCCACUUUAAGAGAAGAGGUUAAGGAAGCUGGGUGGUCUGCCUGGCCAAUGAGAAGUUUAGUUUCCAGAGCGUCUGGACCAAUCAGGGUGCAGGCUGCCGUUGUGGAUCCCGCCCUUCUCCCCCGGGUCUGCAGUACCGUUGGUUUUGCUCUAGAGAUCCGACGCGGUGAGACUGCUGAGCGGGGCAGCGCCAGAAGCCGUUAGGAAUCGUUGGCUCUUUCUGGCAGUUAUUUCAGCUUGUUCUUCGUAGACAAAAGGUAAAAUUUAGGCUUUAACAUAAUUUUAUUUUAUUAAGUUUAUAUUAUUUAGAUCAAAUAUGCCUUGUUACAUCGUUUAGUGCCCCACGCAUCCGGAUUGAGACCCACUCACUAUACGGUUGUCUGAAGUGUGUCGCACUGAGAUCGGUGAGCAUAUUCGGAGCCUUUUAUUUGUGUUUUUGUCGUUUGUUACAUUGUUGUUAAAAAAAUAUCCGUUGUUUUAGUAACUAGGUAAUGUUUUGUUACUGUGUUGGAAAGAAGGAUUAAAGCUAGAACGGCUUGGUAAAGUCCUGUAUUUCUGCUGGUCCUGUCUGUUGACAGGUCAGGUUUUUUUUUUAUACUGGAUCAUUCCUGAAGAGGAUCCCUCCUUUGAUAUUGAUGGCGAGCCUUCCCACCUGGACCUAAAGAGAGAACCAGAUUUCGUCUAUCCCAUUUGGAGUCAUGCUGCACCCUGCGGUGUGGUAGGAGAGCAACAUACAUCUUCACACACGGUUAUGGGUGAAACCUACAACUGACAUUCUCCAUUAUUAUUGUUUUUUUUUAAUUUAUUGAUUUUUGGACAAUACUGUUUGGAUUGUUUUAUUUCGGACAUUGUGACGCACAGCUGUGGUGGAAAUUCUCCUGUGAAUGAAGUUGAAUCAAACCAAAUUGGGAUUAAUUUGAUUAAUCUGCUGACUAAUACAAUUUGGAGUGCAGAUUACCAGGGUGCACCCGAAUUAUUUGAAAUUAAGAAUUAGCACUUGGCCAAGUAUUAUUGUUAUUUCUUUUUUUUAUUUUAUUGUGUGUAAUUUUAUUUUCAUAAUUGUGUGUUUUGUGCAACUGUUAAUUGUGUGUUUUCUGUCACUAAAACCAGUUCUUUAAAUACA